AUUGAACGCUGGCGGCAGGCCUAACACAUGCAAGUCGAGCGGAUGAAGGGAGCUUGCUCCUGGAUUCAGCGGCGGACGGGUGAGUAAUGCCUAGGAAUCUGCCCGGUAGUGGGGGAUAACGUCCGGAAACGGGCGCUAAUACCGCAUACGUCCUGAGGGAGAAAGUGGGGGAUCUUCGGACCUCACGCUAUCAGAUGAGCCUAGGUCGGAUUAGCCAGUUGGUGGGGUAAAGGCCUACCAAGGCGACGAUCCGUAACUGGUCUGAGAGGAUGAUCAGUCACACUGGAACUGAGACACGGUCCAGACUCCUACGGGAGGCAGCAGUGGGGAAUAUUGGACAAUGGGCGAAAGCCUGAUCCAGCCAUGCCGCGUGUGUGAAGAAGGUCUUCGGAUUGUAAAGCACUUUAAGUUGGGAGGAAGGGCAGUAAGUUAAUACCUUGCUGUUUUGACGUUACCAACAGAAUAAGCACCGGCUAACUUCGUG
rnacentral:rRNA from 1 species